AACGAACGCUGGCGGCAGGCUUAACACAUGCAAGUCGAACGCAUCCUUCGGGGUGAGUGGCAGACGGGUGAGUAACGCGUGGGAACGUGCCCUUCAGUUCGGGAUAACCCAGGGAAACUUGGGCUAAUACCGGAUACGUGCGAGAGCAGAAAGAUUUAUCGCUGAAGGAUCGGCCCGCGUCUGAUUCGCUAGUUGGUUGGGUAAUGGCCGACCAAGCCGACGAUCAGUAGCCGGUCUGAGAGGAUGAUCAGCCACAUUGGGACUGAGACACGGCGCAAACUCCGAGCGGAGGGAGCGGUGGGGAAUAUUGGACAAUUUGCGCAAGCCUGAUCCGGCCAUGCCGCGUGAGUGAUGAAGGCCUUAGGGUUGUAAAGCUCUGUCGUCCGGGACGAUAAUGACGGUACCGGAAGAAGAAGCCCCGGCUAACUUCGUGCCAGCCGCCGCCGUAA
rnacentral:rRNA from 1 species